AUGACAUCAUUUUCACCGUUGAGAAUCUUCUCAGCCUGUGGCUGGAACAUCCCCCAGAGGAGCUUCGUCGCGCUGUGGAAACACGCCUACAGCGGCUCUUCUCUGGUCUUCCGUGGCUGUUUGGCUCACUCUCUCCGAUCACACAGGCCUUCCUCCAGCACACACCUCACCUGCUCUCUGCCACUCCUGCCUCGCUGCCCUGACUCGCCGGAUGUGAUCUUGCCCGGCCUGUCGGAGCCGUCUGUGGGGAGGAAACGUCGAUCGCGCCGCCGGCGCGCCACCCCACAGCCGGACAUUCGGACUUCUAAUUCGCCGGCUGUGGUGAGUGAGGACUCUUUUUCGGACUAUGUGACUGUUCAUUCAGGGGCUGUGUUUUGUGCAGCGGAUAGCAGUACGAACUGCUUAGCGCCUGCUCAGCUACCUUCAGUUCAGUUAGCUGCUCAGCAGCCACUCUCGGCUCAGUCAGCUGCUCACUCGCUCUCCACUCAGGCUCCAGUGUCAGCUGCUCACUCGCUCUCCACUCAGUCUCCAGUGUCAGCUGCUCACUCGCUCUCCACUCAGUCUCCAGUGCCUCCAGUGUCGCUUUCAGUUCAGUCUCCUGUUCCUUCAGUGUCGCUUUCUGUUCUGUCUCCGGCGCCUCCAGUGUCGCUUUCAGUUCAGUCUCCUGCGCCUCCAGUGUCACCUGUAGCUCAGGUCCCUGCGCCUCCAGUGUCACCUGUAGCUCAGGUCCAUGCGCCUCCAGUGUCACCUGUAGCUCAGGUCCCUGCGCCUCCUGUGUCACCUGUAGUCCAGGCUCCUGUGCCUCCUGUGUCACCGUUACUCGUAGUUCAGGCUCCAGUAUUACCAGGUUCACUCGUUCACUCCAUGCAGGGAGAAAGUCUUAUUUUUACUCAGGGUGCGUUUCAAGGUUUCGCCGCGAUUGGCACAGUUUGCCACUCCAGGGCUUCCCCAGAGGCUAGGUCUCAGUCCCCAGCUGAUUCUGGACCCCUGAAUUUUAAGCAGCCCCCUGAGAACUGCACCAUGUCAGCGUUGCCUGGGCAGAGUGUCAGGUUUUGUGUGGAGGCGAGGAAGAAGGAACCCAAACGCAGGACUCGCAGGUAG
rnacentral:lncRNA from 1 species